UGGUUUCUAACUUUGUCCAUCCUCAAUCAUUUAGUCUUUCCGUAAAAAAUAAUUAUUAAAUAAGGACCAAAAUGACAAAAAUAUUCUCAAUUUAAUAAACAAUUGGCCAAAAUGAUUUGACAAAAGUUAAGAGUAUUUUAGUCAUUUUAUCCUUAUUUAAUAUAUUUUUCACGAAAUAAUCAAAAUGAUUGAUGGUGAACAAACUCAAUGACCACUUCUAUUGAUUUCAAAUCUCAAUGAUCAAAGUAAGGAGUUAUGACAAUCUUAGGCACCAUCUUAGCUAAAAAGUCUAUAUAUAUAUAUUUAUCGUGAAGACUUUUCUCAUAUUGCAUAUGUAGUUUUCAUUAUAAUGACAAGGGGUUGGUUAUUUACCAAUGAGGAAAAAUUUUAAAAUAUUAUAGAACUAAAAUUUUAAGUGAUUUGCCAUAUCAACCUUCUAAAAUCAUUAAUUUGUUAUCUUAUCCUAACUUCGUUAAGUUUUUCACUCAAAAUAAGUCAUGACUUAUGUUCAGGGCUAUUUUAGGUGAUUUGUACUAGAAAUUUUAAUCAGGUGAAAGUGAAUACCAUGCUUGGUUCACGUGUUCUAAUAAGAGUUUUACCACCUGCAAAAGUAAGAUUUAAAGCAAGAGAACAUGAUAAUUGUAGUAUAAACGGCUCAUGACACACCCUGAUCCGGAAUGUCCACUAGGACUCCGAAUCGAGUUGUGCUGGUCAACACCUGAAAGGUGACGAAGCCAUAAAGUAUAGUGAUGUGGAAAUGUGAAUAAAUUUAAACCUAAUAAUUUCUAAAGACAAGAGUGCGCUGUGAGCGAGAAUGAACUCAUUUCACACUCGAAGUCAGAGCAUAAAUAUAGUACAGUAGUGGGUAAGGAUCAUGCCCUCAGAGGUAGCCACCUAUACUGAGAUUCACCAAGAAUCCUCGUCGAUACGAACUUUUAGCAUCUAAAACCUGGAGGAGCGAAAAACAAGAGUGAGUGGGCAAAAACAAAACGUUUGAAAACUAUUUAUCUUUAUGAACAUAAUAACCCCUUUCCGUAAAACCCGUAUAGUUUCUAGAAAAUAAUAAUACAUACGUAUAUAGAAAUCAUGCUCGAAAGUAGUGAAAACCAAGUAUAUGCUAUGUCAAGUAUCUCAACAAUGAAAUAAGUAAGCCAGGUGAAAUAAAUCAAUAUAAAAUUAUAUGUCAGCCGAAGUCACCUAAUGUGACAUGUACAACUGAGCCUAUAGCUCAUCUACCAAUUCCUGCACACAAGUCGGAACCACCUAAUGUGGUAUGUACGAUAGGCUAUGUGUAAAUAGAUACGCUUAAGUGCUACAAUCACGUAAAGACUCUGCAAAGUAUCGCAACUCACCUACAAGUCGGAAGCACCUAAUGUGGUAUGUACGACAAGCUGGCACCUACCUUGGAUCCAAGGUGAGCAUGUGGUGCGGGAGGUGAACGAUCACGUGAAGGCUAAGCCCUAGCCUCGGGGGGAGCACUAACACCGGGGUGCAGGAUAAUGAGUACUAAAUGCAUCUAAACAAAACCAUACCCAUUGCAAUCACUAUCAUCAAUAUAUACUCACCUGAAACUUACCUGGGCAUCCGCUGCGUCAUGCAAUAAUAUGUGUAUCUAUACUAACGCAUAUGCUAAAAUGUAAUGCAAUUGACAUGGUAUUUGAAAAAAAAACCGUAAAUCCAUUUAAAACAAUUUCUGGAAAAUGUAAAGCAUAUAUACAUGUGUGUGUGUAUAUAUAUAUAUAUAUACCCAUUGCAAUCACUAUCAUCAAUAUAUACUCACCUGAAACUUACUUGGGCAUCCGCUGUGUCAUGCAAUAAGAUGUGUAUCUAUACUAACGCAUAUGCUAAAAUGUAAUGCAAUUUCUGGAACAUGUAAAGCAUAUAUAUAUAUAUAUAGAAAACCAAAAAAACCCACUCAUAGAACAUGACGUUGGGUCGAACCCGCCUCGCGGCUUCGAAAAUCCUUGCAAUGUGUUUCACCUAGAAACAAAACCAUUAUGUACUUAUGUAUAACGUGCUAAAGUAUAAACGAGUUUUCUAGAUUUUAUUGCGUGUUUUUCCCUUAACUUUAGGAGCUCAUUUCAAGCUCAAUUUUCAACCAAAUUCAACGAUUCAAAAGCCAACUAGAAGUUAGAAAUGUGGGAAACAUGUUCGUACUAGUUUGAAAUCAAAUAAUGGCCGGAGUUGACCGGGAAAAUGGUCUGAAAGUGGCCAAAUGGCCACGGGUCCAAGUUUUCCAGAAUCUAGGAAAUUUCGUCCCAAAUUUCAGAGCUAAUUUCUAGCUCAAUUCUCAAUCAAAUUUGAUGAUUGAGCCAUAUUAAAGCUAGAAAUGUAGAGAACAAGUCCAUACCAAAUUGAAGCCGAGUUUAUGUCGGAGUUGGCCAAAAAAAUGGCCUAAAGAUGGCCAACUGGUCAUGACCAAAAUUUCCAUAAUCUAAAAAGAUUUCAACCCAACUUUGAAGGCUAAUUUCUAGUUCACUACUUAACCAAACUCGAUGAUUCAAAAACUAACUUGAAGCUAGAAAUGUAGUGAAUACCAGUUUCGAGGGCCAACCAUCACCGAGAUGGCCGGAAAAUCCUCUCAAAGGGCUAAAUAGUCACGGUCCAAGCUUCCAAAAUUUCUAGGGAAGUCCUCCCUUCGUCCCCGCAUCUUCUAAACCCUAUCCAAAACACGUCUAAGCCCUGAGAUCGUUCACUAGAAAUGAAAAAGAAUAAGGGAGAGAGAGAUCCUAAUGCCUACCUUGGUCGGGUUUCAUUGAAGUCGCCGGAAUCUCAACUUUUAAAACUGAAUUCCUUUUGAGCUCCAAGGCACAGUUCUCAUAACCCAAACUUGGGGUUAAGUUCAUAAAGGUGAGAUGAUUGUAGCAUGGUGCUGUAAUGGUCUGGGUCUCGUAUGUACGGAAGUUGUCAUGUGUGGUGGUGUCUCGGUGGUGACUAACCCAGAGAGAGAUAGUGAGUUUGAAAUGAGAGGUGAGGGCAGUGAGAGUUAAAAGAGAGGGAAAGAUCCAGGGGAUAGGGAACUCGGGAAAAUGGGGGAGAAUGGGUUGAUGCGGUAGUUCCUGGCCUGUAUUUUUGGCCUCUCUGUUUACAGAGAAGAAGAUAAGGAGGCAGAGAGAGAUGAGAGGGUUCUCGAAUGAGAGACCAC
rnacentral:lncRNA from 1 species